AGUAUACUUCCUAUGCUUCUGAACAUUCUUGUUAUUAGUGACAACCUUGUCAAAGUGUGAAAUGCACAGCUUUGUAUAAAUUGCAGUGAUUUAGUCAAAAGGUAUAAUUUACUGAAAGAUAUUUGGAAGCAGCAAGACAAGGCAAAUGAAAUCAGAUAGCUUAGCUUGGUAGCGUAAGAACUAAUGUACCAGUUCAGUGACUCGUUAAAUCAUGGACUGAAAGGGACCUCGAGAGGUCACCUAGUCCAGUUGCCUGCACUCCCGGCAGGAUUCGGUAUUAUCUAGCCCAUCCCUGACAGGUGUUUGUCUAACCUGCUCUUAAAAAUCUCCAGUGAUGGAGAUUCCCCAACCUCCCUAGGCAACUUAUUCCAGUGCUUAACCACUCUGACAGUUGGGAAGUUUUUCCCAAUGUCCAACAUAAACCUCCUUUGCUACAAGUCCAUUGCUUCUUGUCCUAUCCUCAGAGGUAAAGAAAAAUAUUUUUUCUCCCUCUUCCUUGUAACAACCUUUUACGUACUUGAAAACUGUUAUGUCCUGCCCCCUCCUCCCCCGCCCCGUCUUCUUUUCCAAACUAAACAAACCCAGUUUUUUCAAUCUUCCCACAUAGGUCAUGUUUUCUAGACCUUUAUUUUUUAUUGCUCCUCUCUGGGUUCUUUCCAGUUUGUCCACUUCCUUCCUGAAAUGUGAUGCCCAGAACUGGACACAAUACUCCAGUUGAGGCCUAAUCAGUGCGUAGUAGAGCGGAAGAAUUACUUCUCGUGUCUUGUUUACAACACUCCUGCUUAAUACAUCCCAGAAGGAUGUUUGCUUUUUUUGCAACAGCGUUGCACUGUUGACUCACAUUUAUUUUGUAGUCCACUAUGAUCCCCAGAUCCCUUUCCACGGUACUCCUUCCUAGGCAGUCACUUCCCAUUUUGUAUGUGCACAACUGAUCGUUCCUUCCUAAGUGGAGUACACCUCUACCCCGAUAUAAUGCUGUCCUCUGGAGCCAAAAAACCUUACCGCAUUAUAGGUGAAACCGUGUUAUAUCGAACUAUUUUUAAUCUGCUGGAGUGCGCAGUCCCUCCAUCCCCUCCCAGAGCACUGCUUUACUGCAUUAUAUCCAAAUUUGUGUUCUAUCAGGUUGCAUGUUAUUGUGGUAGAGGGGUACUUUGCAUUUGUCCUUAUUAAAUUUCAUCCUAUUUACUUCAGACCAUUUCCCCAGUUUGUCCAGAUCAUUUUGAAUUUUAAUGCUAUCCUCUAAAGCACUUGCAACCCCUCCCAGCUUGGUAUUGUCUGCAAACUCUAUAAGUGUACUCUCUAUGCCAUUAUUGAAAUAAUUGAUGAAGAUAUUGAACAGAACUGGACCCAGAACUGAUCUCUAUGGGACCCCACUCAUGUUCUUCCAGCAUGACUGUGAACCGCUGAUAACUACUCUCUGGGAAUGGUUUUUCAACCAGUUUUGCACUCCCCUGAUAGUAGCUCCAUCUAGGUUGCGUUUCCCUAGUUUGUUUAUGAGAAGGUCUUGCAAGCCAGUAUAAAAAGCUUUACUAAACUCAAGAUAUACCAGGUCUACCACGUCCCCACUUAUCCACAAGGCUUUUACCCUGUCAAAGAAGUCUAGUAUCCUGUUUUGGACAGUGACUAAUACAAACAGCUUCAGAAGAAGGUGCAAGAAAUCCUGUAGUAAACAAUUUUGGAAUAAGUUGCCCAUAAGAGAAACUUUCCCCAACUCUUCUGAGUGACUCACUUAUGGAAGAACUUACCUAGCAUGAUGAAGAGCCUAAGGCCAGCAAGCAGGGAGCCUAACCUCUGCACUGCUUCUGAGCUGUGCUGCUGGAGAAGAGACAGACAUUGUUACAAGUCGAGAGAACCCUGAACAAAGAUAAAAAUAAAAACAGUAUGUACAUGUAGAGGCCUCCUAUUGCAUCAAGCAUCUAUGGCUAUCUUGUGGGGGAAAGAGGUGGGGUGGGAGGAGGUAGGGAUGAGUGCUCACAGAUAUCCGAUGGUCUGUGAAGGGAGGGUCUUUCCUGCUCUAAGAGCUGAGUUACUGGGUGGGCAUUGACCAUAUAAGCUUAUCAGUUGUUUACAGUUGUCAGUGUCCUUACUACAGAAGCAUUCCUACUUGUUCUGCACGUUUUGCUUUAACUGUUAGCUAAAUUUUAAUUGUUGCCUGACGUUGUCAACCCUAAGUACCCCAAAAUCAUGAGUCAAGUCCUAAGAAAUCAUUAAAUUGUCUUAAAUCAUGAGGCUUUAUAUUUGGAGUGGUGGAGAAGGGCUUUAUUUGCCUUCUGGUUUCCAAACAUUUAGGCUACUUUGUUCAUGUUUUCAGGAUAUUCUCUGCAACCAGGAGGGCUAAGAACUUAAUUUGGUUUAAAAAUUAGUACUGAAAUUCUCAUGUAAUAAGUUGCUCCAAGGAGAUUAGACUUAAAAGAACCACCCAAAUAUUGUGAGAUUUGAAAUAAAAUUGCGAGAGUUGGCAACACUAUGCCUGAUAGGCUUGAAGAAACAACUGCCCUCUCCCACCGAUUCCUUGUGGCAGACUGAAAAUAGUGGCUUUCCAAAAGAAGCUGUCUGGUAUCUUUAAUGUGGUGAUAGCACUUAACUUCAUUUCUGAGCUGCAAUGGAAAGGAUUUGACAUGUUUAUGUGCACUUGUGGUUAUUUGCAUUAAUUAAUGUACCUGAACAUGUGAUUCAAAUAUGUAUCUUCAGCUAUUUGAAUGAAUGUGCAGAAAAUGCUUCCCAUUUGAUUCUUUGUUCAGGAAUAUAAUCACUACAUAUUCUUUCUUUUUUGAGACAUAUAGUUACUCUUUUAUCUACUUCCUUUAUGCUACAUAAGGAUAAAGAGUUUGAUCUAGUAAGGUAAGCAACAUAUUCUGUCAUUUGGGAAGGCGGAUCUUAAUUGUUGAAAACAGGAGAAAAGAACUGAUACUUCGUAUUCAUCACUGCAUUAAAUCUGUAAGCAAAUGUCAAACAUUAAGUACCUGUAUUCAUCUGUUUUAUUUUUUAAAUUACAUAUUUUGACAUUUUAAUUAAAUAGACUUGGUAUCUUUUAUGUUUUUCAAAUUCAGUGUCUUUGAGAAGUCUGAGUGGUGUAUUUUUUUUUUUUUUAAAUGCUCUCCUUUUUAACUGCAGUAGUAUAUAGGUAAAUCCACCUCAUGUUAAAUCAUUUGAAAUCCUAGCUGUGAUCAAAUGAUAGAUUUAAACCACAUUUGUAGUGUAUGUAAUGCUUACCAAAGAAUAAAGUCACUGAAGAAAACUAUCUCAAUAACAGUUUUAAUGGUUUGAGCACUUUCUAUAAUUUGUUUCAUUAAUAUAGUUGUUUUUGCCAAAAAUACUUUAGUGUUAUAAUUUGGUUUAGCUUUAUACCAAAAAAAAAAAUUUCAAGCAUUCACACUAACCUGACUGUGCAAAAAUAACAGGUAGGUUUUAAAAUAGAUUCUUAAAAAAAAAUAAGCUCGAUCAAUAGUGGCAUGAAGAGAAACAAUAUUCUGUCUCCCCCAUCCUUGAAUCUAAACCUGUGUAAAGAAAACAUGCUGUAUUUUAAGGUAAUAAAGAUUCAAAAAGAUAUGCAACUAAAUUUACAGAUUUACAAUCUGCUGAACGUUGUUCUUGAAGAAUCUAGCCAGGAAAUGGGUCAUCCACAUAUAGAACGUGAAAUCAGUCAAGUCAAAUCACUAUAAAGUAUUAUCAUGUCUGUUUGAAAGUACGCAGAAAACUGAAAGCGAGGACAUAAAAUGAGAGUCCAAGUUUGAAGGUAUGAUUUAGCAUAUGUUAAAUCAACUCCUUUAUAAAUUGGAGCUAGGAUUUAGUUUGUAGACUGUUGGACAAUGGUGCAGUUGAGUAUAAAUCUAAUCUCGCUGACUUUGCCCAUGGCAAAUUAUCCUAUAUUGUGCUUCGUGUUGCCAGACUUGAAGCACUAAUGGAAAUUGGGGUUACUGCUUGUGAUGUGGCACUCUCUGAUUAGUUAAUGUGUAGAAUUCUCCAAUCAUAAUGAAGAGCUGGACUUGCUAUUCUGCAACAUGUGGUGCUUUGAAGUCAUCCUUCCUGUUACUAGAGUGAAUUUGAGGUUCAUCCCUAACUGGUUUCUUGAUACAUUUUAUUUGCAAAGUCUGUAACCAAGACCACUUAAAUUACUUAUUGCAUACAGGUCGGCAACCUUUCGGAAGCAGUGUGCUGAGUCUUCAUUUAUUCACUCUAAUUUAAGGUUUCGCUUGCCAGUAAUACAUUUUAAUGUUUUUAGAAGGUCUCUUUCUAUAAAUCUAUAAUAUAUAACUAAACUAUUGUUGUAUGUAAAGUAAAUAAGUUUUUUAUAAUG